rnacentral:rRNA from 1 species
UACGUAGGGUGCAAGCGUUAAUCGGAAUUACUGGGCGUAAAGCGUGCGCAGGCGGUUAUGUAAGACAGGUGUGAAAUCCCAGGGCUUAACCUUGGAACUGCAUUUGUGACUGCAUAGCUAGAGUACGGUAGAGGGGGAUGGAAUUCCGCGUGUAGCAGUGAAAUGCGUAGAUAUGCGGAGGAACACCGAUGGCGAAGGCAGCACUCUGGGCCGGUACUGACGCUGAGGAGCGAAAGCGUGGGGAGCAAACAGG